rnacentral:rRNA from 1 species
UACGUAGGGUGCAAGCGUUACUCGGAAUUACUGGGCGUAAAGCGUGCGCAGGCGGCUUUGCAAGACAGAUGUGAAAUCCCCGGGCUUAACCUGGGAACUGCGCUUGUAACUGGCAAGCUUGAGUGUGGCAGAGGGGGGUGGAAUUCCACGUGUAGCAGUGAAAUGCGUAGAGAUGUGGAGGAACACCGAUGGCGAAGGCAGCCCCCUGGGCUAACACUGACGCUCAUGCACGAAAGCGUGGGGAGCAAACAGG